GAGGCUGGAGGAUGUAAGGGGGGUUUCUCUGUCAACUGGCAAAGGUAGAACUAGUUUCUCUUGUUUUAUUUAUUGGUUGUAGGGCUUCUUGUAUCCCUUCUGAGUGCUGGAGGAAAACAUUGCAUACAAGUUCUCUACAAGGCAUUUCUGCUGAGUAACACAAUGAAUCAUGAAGGACAUUUUCUAUGAGAGCUCGUGCAGCUCAGACCCAGCUAUAGGAGGAGACUGAGUUGAAAACAGAAAUAUGUUGAAAGUACAAGCACUCACUUCAUUGUUAAACAGUGGUGAUUUGUUUGUUUUACCUCCAUGUAAAGAACUUACUCCAUGGAAGAACUUACACAGGCUUAAAUGGAUAUCCGACUGAGAAGACUAAAUCCUUGAAUGAAUCUGAACACAAUUGUAAAGGGAAGUGGGAAAAGUAGCUGAGAAGGUUGGAAGAAAAAACAGCAGACUACAAGGGCACUAUGUGAGCUGAAGGAUCAAAUUAUGGGGCAAAUGAUCCCCUUCCCUGUUUCCUUAAUUUGGUUUUAAACAGUGUGCUCUGUAGAAUGUAAAAUGCAACUAUUUCUCACUUAUACUCCCACUGCCUCUAUUCACCUCAUUCUUUUCCCUUUUAAUGCUUCUGAGCUAUCAUCUCAUUCUCUCAUCUUUCUUCCAGAGAAGCCAUUCACCAUUCAGUAAAAAAGAUAACACCAACUCUUUUCAAUAUGGUCAAUAAGCUUUUUUUUUUUUUUUAUUCCUUGUUAUUUU